UAGGGAAUAUUGCUUAAUGGGCGAAAGCCUGAAGCAGCAACGCCGCGUGAACGAUGAAGGCCUUCGGGUCAUAAAGUUCUUUUACGUGGGAUGAGGAAGGACAGUACCACGAGAAUAAGUCUCGGCUAACUACGUGCCAGCAGCCGCGGUAAAACGUAGGAGACGAGCGUUAUCCGGAUUUACUGGGCGUAAAGCGCGUGUAGGAGGCGCUACAAGUUGGAUGUGAAAGCUCCCGGCUUAACUGGGAGAGGUCGUUCAAGACUGUAGUGCUAGAGUGAGGCAGAGGUAAAUGGAACUCCGGGAGUAGUGGUGAAAUGCGUAGAUAUCCGGAAGAACACCAGAGGCGAAAGCGAUCUACUGGGCCUAAACUGACACUGAGACGCGAAAGCCAGGGUAGCAAACGG
rnacentral:rRNA from 1 species